AGAGUUUGAUCCUGGCUCAGAUUGAACGCUGGCGGCAUGCCUUACACAUGCAAGUCGAACGGUAACAGGUUAAGCUGACGAGUGGCGAACGGGUGAGUAAUAUAUCGGAACGUGCCCAGUAGUGGGGGAUAGCCCGGCGAAAGCCGGAUUAAUACCGCAUACGACCUACGGGUGAAAGGGGGGGAUCGCAAGACCUCUCGCUAUUGGAGCGGCCGAUAUCAGAUUAGCUAGUUGGUGGGGUAAAAGCUCACCAAGGCGACGAUCUGUAGCUGGUCUGAGAGGACGACCAGCCACACUGGGACUGAGACACGGCCCAGACUCCUACGGGAGGCAGCAGUGGGGAAUUUUGGACAAUGGACGCAAGUCUGAUCCAGCCAUGCCGCGUGCGGGAAGAAGGCCUUCGGGUUGUAAACCGCUUUUGUCAGGGAAGAAAAGUUUGGGGCUAAUAACCUCGGAUGAUGACGGUACCUGAAGAAUAAGCACCGGCUAACUACGUGCCAGCAGCCGCGGUAAUAC
rnacentral:rRNA from 1 species